rnacentral:lncRNA from 1 species
CCGAUUCUAACUCUUCUAUUCUUUCUUUCAUUUCUUCGAUCUUGCUCAAGUUCGCUCUCAAUUCCAUCGCGAAAUUUCAACUUUGGUACUGAUGAAGAGAUCUUUCUAACUCAGCCACUCUACCUUUUAGUUCACAUUUUUCCUUUUGGUUCUCUGACAAACUCUUCUCUAAAGCUCCAUUUCGUGCCUGAACCUCUCGGAAUUUCUUUUCCCAUCCAUCAGCCUUGAUCUUUUCUUCUCGAAUCUCUUGACGCCACUGUUCUGAAGUUUUC